rnacentral:rRNA from 1 species
AUACGUAGGUGGCAAGCGUUGUCCGGAAUUAUUGGGCGUAAAGCGCGCGCAGGCGGUCCUUUAAGUCUGAUGUGAAAGCCCACGGCUCAACCGUGGAGGGUCAUUGGAAACUGGGGGACUUGAGUGCCGAAGAGGAAAGUGGAAUUCCAAGUGUAGCGGUGAAAUGCGUAGAGAUUUGGAGGAACACCAGUGGCGAAGGCGACUUUCUGGUCUGUAACUGACGCUGAGGCGCGAAAGCGUGGGGAGCAAACAGGAUUAGAUACCCUGGUAGUCCACGCCGUAAACGAUGAGUGCUAAGUGUUAGGGGGUUUCCGCCCCUUAGUGCUGCAGCUAACGCAUUAAGCACUCCGCCUGGGGAGUACGGUCGCAAGACUGAAACUCAAAUGAAUUGGCGGGG